AGGCUAGCCCCGCGGGCGGGAGGAGCGGUUCCUGAGGGGAAUCGGUUCUCCGGCUGUGAGAGGAAGAGGGAGGAGAGCAGCCGGCUGAGGAGAAGGGGAAGAAGGCGCCUUCAGGCAGCUCGCGCUGGUGGGGACCUGCGUCUCCCAGAGAAAUGCAUUUUGGUCGACGCCGCCGCCACGGCACUCUGCACAUGCUCGGGCGAACUUCCUCCACUCGCACAAGCCUCGCCUCAAGGGAGGAAGCGGCUGCUUUUGCUGUCUGUGGGAGGCCGACCAGCCCCGAUGGACUGGCGAGCGAGAGAUAGCAGGACCACCCCGGCCGGGGGAGGCAGCCGGCGCCAGGACAGGGACCGCAAAGGCACUCCCGGUCCCUGGACACACUCUUGACCCGCGGGCCACAGCUACCGUGGGGGCCGCUCGCCCCUUCGGAGGCGCUCCGAAAGGACUGAAGGGGGCGGCGGGGAGGAUUUCCCCUUUUUUUCCGGACUUGCUGAAGCAGUUUCUUCGUGAGUGCGUGUUUAAAUUUUCCCGCCCGUCGGAGAAUGAGGAAUGAUUGCGUUGAUUUCGAAGACGAGCAGCCACAGAAAAGAUCAGCAAGAAACAGGUCCCUCGGCAGCAAGAUCCUGUUCGCUGCCUAGGGCGUUUGGACAAGGCGGCAUAGAGCAAAUCCAACAGGUGCAGUUGGCAGGAUGCUGUUUCUGGCUCUGCCACCUAGCGGAUUGAGAUGGACUUGUAUACCACUGAAUCAAAGCGCUGACCUCAGAGUGGCCUUCCUGAAACCUUUGAAGGGGCUUCUUUAGUUAGAACUGCCUAAAACAAUGCAUUCCUGGGGAAACAGGCCUUUUUGUUUUUCCAGGCACACAUUUUGUUUGUCCUCCUUAUGAAAUGCAAAUGUAUCCAGCAUUGUGAUUUCAUCUUGAGGCUGCUUUACACAAUUGUUGCCUGGCAACUGCCAGCAAGGGAAGACUACUUUUGUCAGAGCCUGAGCAACAUAUAGCUGUAUAGCCCCCUUGCCUUGCCUCAAAAGGAGCUGUUUCCUGGCAACUGCCACCUGCUAGCAAGGGAAGACUGCUUCCAACAUGGGCUGAGUAAGACCUAGCUGUUCAGCCCCACCUUUGCCUAAAAAUACUUUGGAAGGAACUGCUGCUUGCUCAGACACCAGAGAAGAACAAGGGCUGAAUAAUCCGUUUCACACAAGUACCGUGCCAUCCUGUCUAGAUUACAGUGUGACUUUAAUUUUAAGAAUUUUUUAAUAAACUGCUUUAAGAGGCGUUCAGGACUGUAAACUGGAAAGCAAGUACU